AGAUCAUCACGGGGUAUAAAGCGUGCGCAGGCGGUUUUGUAAGACAGAGGUGAAAUCCCCGGGCUCAACCUGGGAACUGCCUUUGUGACUGCAAGGCUGGAGUGCGGCAGAGGGGGAUGGAAUUCCGCGUGUAGCAGUGAAAUGCGUAGAUAUGCGGAGGAACACCGAUGGCGAAGGCAAUCCCCUGGGCCUGCACUGACGCUCAUGCACGAAAGCGUGGGGAGCAAACA
rnacentral:rRNA from 1 species